GAAAACUUUUGACAAAACACGGCACGCGUCGCUCCGCCUUUCUCUUUUUUUUUUAAUACAAACUUCGAGCGGACUUUUACACGGCGCGCGUGAUCUAAACGAAUAUAAAUAAAGUGCGCGGCGUUUGAAGGACACAAACAGAAACCAAAUCAAGGAUAUUCCAGCAAAAAGGAAAAGAAGCGAGACCGCAGAAGCGAAGCCAGGAAACGAGGACCUUCGACGGAGAGCAAGAAAACGAUCCGAGGGAUACAGGGUGACAUGUGGAGUCCAACGCACUGCAGUGUAACGGUGCAAAGGGCGCGGGGUCUGCUCACCAAAGGCAAGAAUGGCACCAACAAUUGCUUCGUCACCAUUGCCCUGGGCAAGGAGAAGUACCAGACGUCCGUCAAGGACAAGGCUGAGACGAGCGUCAACUGGAACGAGGAGUGUGAACUCAAAAUCCCCGAUCAGGGCAAUCGCGCCGAGCUGACGCUGACCUGCCUGCACAGAAACAACCUGGGCAUCGAUGAAUUCCUCGGCCAGGCCUCGCUGCCCCUCAACGAAAUGGAUGUGUACGACAGGCCGCGUGCCAAGUGGUUCAAGCUGGAGAGCAAGCCCGGCAAGGAGAAGAAGAAUAAGGAGCGUGGCGAGCUGGAGGUCCGCAUUGCCUUCGUGGUCAAAUCCGGCUCGCUGACCGACCUUAGUAAGAAGGACAAGCACAAGUCUUCCAUUGGCCAGCUGGCCAGUUCCGUGGGCGGCAGCCUGCUGUCCAUUGGCAAUGGCGAGAAGCGGCGUAGCAUCAAGAAGCUGGCCGGUUCGCUUAGCUCCAAAUUGCACAUUCGCAGCAAGAAGAAGCAGGAGGCUGGCGGCGACGAUAGCAGCUCCUUUGGCGGCUCCUUUGCCAGCCUGGGCACUCCCAAUAGCUCAGCGGGCAGGGGCCAAAACGGAGGCAGUGGCCGGCGACGAGGUGGCCAGCGGGCAGGCGAGGCCGAUCCCGGUGUGAUUAGCGAGGACGAGGAUGAGUUUGUCUUCGAUAACCUGUCGCACAAGAGCUCCGGCAGCUCGCUCAACAUUCAGCGGACCGGUUUGCAGCCACCGCCAGCAGCUGGGACGCCCAAUUUUGCGCCGCGCCAUCCAUCGCCCUUGCUGAGCAACGGCGUCGUCGGCGGCAUCAACAAUGGCAGCGGGAAAGGUAAGCCAUCGGUUUUGCCAGCUACCCUCGAUGAGGACGCACCCAUCGACGCGGAGAUGGAACAGCUUGAGCUCGAUUUCAGUGUCCGUGCCCAUGCCCGCGCCAAUGCCAAUGUGAAUGGUAGCGGUGCCAGCAGCAACCUGCCGCCUCCCUCGAAGCCGCCACGCAUUCCCUCCUCAUCGUCGUCGUCGCAGGCGGAGCAGGAGCAGGAGGAGGAGCAGCAGCAGCCCGUAAUUAGGGCCCUGGAACGAGAAAAGCCAAAGGAGAAGCAAGUGGAACCGGAUACAAGCAAGGACGAGUGGGCUUCAAAAUUAUAUGGCAGCGGCAAGUACCUGGAUAUUGGAAGCAGUGAUUCCCUGAAGCGUCGCAGCUGGGAGGCACGCGUACCACUGCCCGCCAGUGUCGAGGAGCCACCGCCAAUCCCCACAUCCAGCUCUUCGUCCAGUUCCAGCUCGGACAGUGAUGAGGAUGACGAGGAGCAGCCACCGCGGGCAGCUCCUCCACCAGUACCCGUUGCAGCUUCCAUUACCGCUACUGUUUCUGGUAAAGCUCCUAUUGCUCCUGCUCCAGCUCCUGCUCCACCUGCUGCCGCUGUAGCCACUACCACCACCUCAUCCUCACUCUUCUCACCCGACGUGGAGCAUCGCAAUUUCGAUACCUUCAAUGCUAGCUUCGCCAAGUACGAGCAGCGCAAUAGCACAGCCAUCUUUGCAGAUGAACCUGAGCUGGAUGAGCUGGAUGUUGAGCCAGAGAAGCUGCCGGUGCCUACACCCACAGCACGUCCCAAGCCGCAGCCGCGGGUAAUGCCCGAUCUGAGGGCUGAGGAGGAGAAGGCCAGGGAAGAGGCUGCCCGGCAACUGCGUGCCGAGGAGGAUGCUCGCUUGGAGGAGGAGCUGCGUUUAAAUGAGCAGCGACUGCAUGAGGAGGAAGCGGCCCUGCAGCGAGAGCUAGAGGAGGAGGCCAAGGAGCGGCAACAGCUAGAGGAGCAGCGGCGGCGUGAAACCAAGCGCUGGGAGGAGGACCAGAGGCUGCUCAGCUUCGCCACGCGCUCAACGUCCCUAGAGGAGCCAGCAGUAGCUGUGGCUGUGGCCACUGAGAAGCGUGAACGGGAAUUGGAACAGGAGCCGGAGGGUGAACUGGCUGAGCCAGAGCACAAUUUCCUCACGCCCGAGCAAUCGCCCAAGGAGUUCCAGACGAAUGGCGGUGGCAGCGGCACUGGCGAACGCUGGGAGAAGCGGCUGGGCAAGUUCAAAUACGGCAACAAGCGAGAUAAAUACAACAAUGACAACGAGAGCAACUCGCCCAGUCCCAAGUCCACAGAGCGCAUCAUCAUUGGCCACGAAAAGUCUGGAUCGCAUGCAGAGCGCCGCUCGGAAAUAUCCGCCCAGCUGGCCAAGAAAUACGAGGGAAAGUCCCGGGAGGAACUAAUGCUAAUUGCCAAUGGAAUGGAGAACGAAGCUCUGCUGCAGCGGCAGCGGGUUAAGGAACUAGAGGACUAUCUGGACAACCUGCUACUGCGUGUAAUGGAAACGCAUCCGAAGAUCCUGCAGAAUCCCUAUUCGCGCACCACAUCCGCCAAGAGGUACGGCCCCAAAUCGUUCUGGUCGCUACCAAGGACCACGCUCACCCACUAACCAAGCAACCAACCAACUGCAUGCAUGACCCUGACCGCCGUUAUAAAAAUUACAUCAAUAUGAAUGACUUUCUAAAGUAAGUGCUGUGCAUGGCUGCUGCUAUUUGCAUUUAAGUAGAAAAUGAUUUAAAUGAAAGAUAAGAAAACACUCGAUUCACCAACAACUACAACUACAACAUCACCAACAACUACACCACAACAACAACAACAACCACAGCUAAUGUGAUGACAAGAUGAUGAAGAAGAAGAAGGAAGAAGCUACUAAAUACUGAAGCGGCAACGAACGGUUAAGAAAAAAGAACAGCCAAACUUGUCAGCGUCACCAACUUGAUAUACACUUGUCACACACACACAGCCUCGCCAGAGGAGGAGGCAGAGAAGUAGAAGGAGAAGGAGGAGCUAAAGACGCUGCUGGAGGAGAUCAAACACCAUGUUGCCUUUGUCGUGAACAGCGAAAUUCAAGUGCUUUCUAAAUCGUAAUACUAAGAAGAAUGGGGAGGUGGGGAUAACCACUACGAUCGUACACUUAAGGGGUGCGAAAUUGAAUGGUAUGUUCACCCAACCCCCUCCCAGAUUAUUCCCCGUACUAAACUGAACUACAUUAAUUAUACUAUACUAUAUAUAUAUAUAAAUACGAUAUGUAUGUGUAUCGCCAGGCAUGCGAGUUGCAUUAUCGAUUGGUUCUCGAGUCCUUUUUAUCAAUUGAUUGAAAUUAUCCAAAAGUAUUUUGUUUUUUUUAAUGUCCCAUUUUUUAUGUAAUAUUUGUUGUGCAAAAAAAAAAAAGUAUAAGAUGAGUUUUGAGGAGAAGUUUUUGUAAAUCGCCAGAGCGGCCUUUAGUGAAUUAAGUCUUAAAUUAUUUAUGUUUUAGCUGUUAAGCAAAAAAGGGGGGACACACACGCAUACACACAGUUGAGAAAUAUGUUGAUAUCCUACAAUGAUUUUACUUAUUGAUAUACACCCAACCCAAAACCGGAAUAAAAACAUUUUUAACAUUAAUAAAA